CCUACGGGAGGCAGCAGUAGGGAAUAUUGGGCAAUGGAGGCAACUCUGACCCAGCCAUGCCGCGUGCAGGAAGAAGGCGUUAUGCGUUGUAAACUGCUUUUAUAUAGGAAGAAAUAGACCUUGCGAGGUAAGUUGACGGUACUAUAUGAAUAAGCACCGGCUAACUCCGUGCCAGCAGCCGCGGUAAUACGGAGGGUGCAAGCGUUGUCCGGAUUUAUUGGGUUUAAAGGGUGCGUAGGCGGUUUAUUAAGUCAGUGGUGAAAGACGGUCGCUCAACGAUUGCAGUGCCAUUGAUACUGGUAGACUUGAGUGGGAUUGAGGUAGCUGGAAUGGAUAGUGUAGCGGUGAAAUGCAUAGAUAUUAUCCAGAACACCAAUUGCGUAGGCAAGUUACUAAGUCUCAACUGACGCUGAGGCACGAAAGUGUGGGUAUCAAACAGGAUUAGAUACCCUGGUAGUCCACACUGUAAACGAUGAUAACUAACUGUUGGCUUUCGGGUCAGUGGUACAGAGAAAUCGUUAAGUUAUCCACCUGGGGAGUACGCCGGCAACGGUGAAACUCAAAUGAAAUUGACG
rnacentral:rRNA from 1 species